GACAGAGGAUGCAAGCGUUAUCCGGAAUGAUUGGGCGUACAGCGUCUGUAGGUGGCUUUUCAAGUCCGCCGUCAAAUCCCAGGGCUCAACCCUGGACAGGCGGUGGAAACUGCCAAGCUGGAGUACGGUAGGGGCAGAGGGAAUUUCCGGUGGAGCGGUGAAAUGCGUAGAGAUCGGAAAGAACACCAACGGCGAAAGCACUCUGCUGGGCCGACACUGACACUGAGGCGCGAAAGCGUGGGGAGCGAACGGG
rnacentral:rRNA from 1 species